CUAGCGACUUCAGAGUUUGAUCCUGGCUCAGGAUGAACGCUGGCGGCGUGCCUAACACAUGCAAGUCGAACGGACUAAACUGAAACCUAGUGAUGUUUAGUUAGUGGCGGACGGGUGAGUAACGCGUGGGUAACCUGCCUCACACUGGGGGAUAACAGUUAGAAAUGACUGCUAAUACCGCAUAAGCGCACAGCUUCGCAUGAAGCGGUGUGAAAAACUCCGGUGGUGUGAGAUGGACCCGCGUCUGAUUAGCUAGUUGGUAGGGUAACGGCCUACCAAGGCGACGAUCAGUAGCCGGCCUGAGAGGGUGACCGGCCACAUUGGGACUGAGACACGGCCCAA
rnacentral:rRNA from 1 species